rnacentral:rRNA from 1 species
UACGUAGGGGGCAAGCGUUGUCCGGAAUCAUUGGGCGUAAAGAGCGUGUAGGCGGCUCGGUAAGUCCGCUCUGAAAGCCCGGGGCUCAACCCCGGGAGGCGGGCGGAUACUGUCGAGCUAGAGUCCGGAAGAGGCGAGUGGAAUUCCUGGUGUAGCGGUGAAAUGCGCAGAUAUCAGGAGGAACACCAAUGGCGAAGGCAGCGCGCUGGGACGGUACUGACACUGAGACGCGAAAGCGUGGGGAGCAAACAGG